AGCAAAUCUGAUGCUCCCCUCUUGCUCUUGCUCUUGCUCUUGAUCUUCAGUGUUCUUCAAUUUGCUUCAAUCUUCAAUGGCUAAUUAAGAACUAGGGUUUAUAUUCUAAUCUAAUGGAGUGUUUAAUCUAGUUUAAUCUAUGUAUUCUCUCUUUAUUUUAUGUCUUACAUAAUGUAUUUAUAGGUUACAAGUCCAAUUUUUAGCUUAAGAACAAACCCAAUCCAAUUUGGAGUCAAAAUUCGCUCAAAAACGCGUCCAGGCCAUCACCAAGCCCUUCCCCAGCGCCCCAGCGCUGGGCUUGACGCUCAAACACUGCUCCCCAGCACCCCGGCGCUGGGCAUAAGCCUAUUUUGGGCGCCCCGGCGCUGCCAUAUGUUCUGACAUUUUCAGCUCCAACGUCCUUUGGGAAAAUGGCCAUAACUUCUUCGUCCGAACUCCUAUUUUGAUGAUUCAAGAUGAUCUGGAAAGAGGAGAAGUAUAUCUACAACUUUUAUUCUUUAAGUGUUUCAAAAUAAGGUCCAGAGAUAUACUCAAAUUAGCUCUGAAGUGACUGAUGUGUAAAUGGCAAGCCAAAAAUACGAAUCUAGCCAAACGUCGAUCCAAGUAACUUUUGUCCCAAAUCCUACAAAACAAUAUAAAACAUGCUUGAAUAGAUACAAACACUUAAAAACUAUUCUAAAAGACUUAAGAACAACAAUAAAUUAAGCCCGAAUGUAUCUAAUUCAUGUGUAUAAAACUCACUCAUCAAUACUCGUAUUAGAUAUCAUUUCUUUUGUACUCAUCAAGGGAUAUCAUUUUUUUUCUUCAUAUUUCUCCAUUUAUGGUACGAAAUUAUUGUUUGUUUCCAUAACCUUAUUAUAAAAUGGUAAAAAUCCCUGAAAUUAAUAGAAUAUCCUUAAUAGUUGCGCUUCAUCUAAUAUCAUUUCACUAGAAUAUUGGUCUGAACUUUCUUAUUAAAUUUUAAUCUAUUCAUCCGGCUACUAUUCAUGCCGGAGUACUAUUCACAACGAAAUUUAGUUUAUUUUCUUUUUUCCAAAUUAUCUUUGAAAUUUGAAUCUUAAAUAUCAUUCUUGAAUUUUACUCCACAAUUGGUUAACAUGUUGAUAAUUUGGACAUUCUUGAACUCUGAAUAAAUUAAAUUAUAAAUCUCUAAUAUUUAUCCUUGAUCUCACUUGAUUCAGUCUUUAUAUCAUUGUCAUCAUCCUUAUGCUUAUAUUGUGGUGAAAGUCAUCUUUGACCCGUAGUGCAAAGAUGGACUGUUGAUUGAUAUAAUUAUGACUAGAAAUUGUGUAUUGAUAUAAUCAUGACCUUUAAUGUUACAGAUAAAGGUUUGUGGUGAAAGUCCUUUUUGGCCCGUAGUGUAUAAAUGGACAGAUGUUUGGCAUGAUCAUGACCACUGGUGAUACAAACGAAUAUAUUUGGUCCGUAGUGCAUAGAUAAUUCGUUGGUUUGAAAUAAUUAUUGAUUUGUGUUAUAGGGAUAAAAUAUUGAUGAUGGACUUUUAAAUCAUAGAAGAUAGUAGACAUCAUGCUCUACUUGAUUCUUCUAAUUGAUUGUUAUUUCCGCUGUAAUUGUUGAUCUAAAACUUGUUGUCUAUUGUAUUAUAUCAGAUUUUUCACUGUUGAGGACUAAGAAUAAUUUGUUCUACAUUAUCUUAGUCAUAAUAUUCUUUAUUGAGCUAGUUGAGUUCACUCUUUUCCUUUUUAUUCCAUUAUUCUUCUCAGGAAAUGAAAGUGUAGCUGGAACUAGUCGGGGAGUGGAGUAAUGGUCCGAGAUAGUUACUAUAGAAGUCUUCACUAUGUUAUGAAAUAGUGUGAUAAUAAUUAUAAUGAAGAUUUAAUUUGAGUUUGGAUAUUGUCGUAUUAUGUACGGUGCAAUAUUUGUAUUCAAACUCACAGAUUAUGUGUUGUUGUAUUUUGCACGACAAUUUAAUAGUUGUAUAUAGGAAGAUUUGUAUUUGGAUUCUGUACCAUGUAGUUUGACGACUCAAAAUAGAUUGUAUAAACCUAUUUUGGGAGCGUCACAAAAGGUCAAACAAACAUGCUACAAAACAAACCUCUAGAAAGCAAUCUGGUUAACAGCUUGCCAACAAUUAUAAUCCAAAGGAGGUCAAGUCUAAAUCUUUUUGAAAUAAGACAAAACAACUACAUAUUAGGAACCCAAGAACUAUGAACAAUCCAAAUAUUACACAAAGAUAACAAGCAUAUAAAUUCUCUUCUGACAGACAUAUAUUGUAACUGUGGACCUAAUUAACUUUACAAUACUACAUCAUUCUCAUUGGCAUUUUGCUAAAGAUACAAUUUCAUUCAUACAAAUUUAAGAAAAAUAAUAGAUAAAUAAAUAAAUAAAAUAACAAAUGUAUAAAUUAAUGAUAUAAAUAAACAAAUAAUAACAUAAUUUCAUUCAUACAAAUUUAAGAAAAAUAAUAGAUUUUGUAAAACCAACCUUAAACGUGUAACAUGUCCAAUUAAUCACUAAUUCAACUCAUGCUAAAAGGUGUCAUCAACCAAUUGACACAAGAGAGCAAGUAGAAAGAAUUCUGAUCAUAAACUCUUUAGGGGCCAACCACACUCCUAUCAUUUCCUCCCCAAUUUGAGUUACAGUCUUUCCUUUUAUCAUAAACUAUAAGAAUAGGUGCAACCAAGUGAUAACCCAAUUCUCAGAAUAUAAUAUGUUUAUUUUACUUGAAAAAUACCAACUGAUCAAGCAAUAGAACAGUACCAAAAUGUAAUACUUGUCAGAACAAUGAGUCUAUCUUUGGUUGAAUAAGUAAACGGAUAAAUCCAUUGUUGGGCAUUACACACGUAGCUCUAAUUGAAGUAAACAAAUGGUACCAAUAUUCUUUUCUAUAAGGCCUAAAUAUAGAUUAAUACCUUAACUUUCCAAUUAAUGCAAUUGAUCAGACACAUGNNNNNNNNNNNNNNNNNNNNNNNNNNNNNNNNNNNNNNNNNNNNNNNNNNNNNNNNNNNNNNNNNNNNNNNNNNNNNNNNNNNNNNNNNNNNNNNNNNNNGAGCAAAUCCAAUGGUAAUGUCAAAAUGACUAUAGCUAUUGCUAUAUUUUGGCACCAAAAAGUACUUUUUUGUGUUAAAAUAGAACCCAGUCUCCAGUGGUUGGUUCUAUUUUAGCACCAAAUUAUUUCAAAUUUAACUAACUUUCUCUCCAUCUCAUUGUUAAUUACUUUUUCAACUCCAAUUUAACUAUCUACGUUAUUUUCAACCCCGUUGUGAUCUAAUUUUUUAAAUCCCCGUUCCCAACAUUCUCAACCCCCAUUCUACUUAAAAUUUCAGAUAUUUUUCAAUCCACAAUUAUAGCACCCCCAUUCCACCGUUUUUAACCACCAUUCAACCCAUAUAUUUUUAUUAUCUAACUUUCUCAUCUAACUUUCCUCAACCACCAUUCGUUCCAUGUUUUCCGGCCACUUUUCGUUCAGUUUUAGGUAUGUCCGAUUCUUGAUUUUCUGUUAAUUUCAGUUGGGGUUUGAGAUGUCAAAGGAUGACUGUCAUCCUUGGUUCUAUAUUUAGAACCAAGUAUAGCAUUUUGCUAUUUUAGAACUAAUUAUAGAACUGGGUUGGAUUUGUGUUUUUACCAUUUGGUGCUAUAAUUUGACUAUAGAACCAAUUAUAGCACCCAUUGGACUUGCUUUAAAUGAUCAAAACCUAACAAUCUAAGGAAAAAUUUAAUUAUAAAAAAGAAUGACCAAAACCCAGAAGAAAAACCUUAAAAAGAUUAAAAACCCCUUAUAGACACAAACACUUGACAAACCUGAUAAAAGUAAAAUGUUUAGAAAUAAACCAAAAUUUAGUACUUAAAGGAAACAAAGCUAAACAACAAACGAAAAAAAGAAAAACAAUAGUAUUUACCUGAGGCAACAGGGAGAGGAAUGCAUAUCUAGUGGGGAGAAGUGGCAAAAGCCAUUUUAUCAAAACCUUUUGUCUAAAACAAAUUAACAAAAACACAAAUCUUUGCCUUUCAAUGCAAUUGUUUUAAACAAUAUCUCAUGUUAAAAUCAGUUAUUCUAAACAUUGAAGGAAUUUUUUAAACUUCUUCUCACUCCCAGUCCCAGCUCAGCCAUACCCAUCAAUUACCGCAUUCUUUUCUUAAAUGAGUAAGAAAAUAUUCAAAUGAUAAGUAGCCUAGCAUUUUUAAUAGGACAAACCAGUCGGAAUGUGCUGAGAGAUGCCAAGAUGGAGCCUCCAAUCCAAACAAUAUACUUUCUCUCCGUAAGUCCUUUAGAAACAGUAUCAGAGUUCAGAUUAAUUUGAACAAAUAGCAGAUUGAAAGGUUUUAAAUAAGCAAAUUCAUUUUUUGGACAAAGAUAGUUGGGUUCCCAAUUCACAGUUUUCAAUUCUUAACCUUAUAAUUUGAAAACUCGACAAAUCCUUAUAAUUUGAAAACUCACCGACAAAUCUUUCUCGCUUCGCCGCUGUUAGAGAAAUCGUCGCGGAUUCGCCGCUAAGAUUGUGUAGUUGUAUGUAAGCCGUUGCUAGAAAAAUCGCCGCUGAGAUUGUGAUUUUUUGAUUUGCCCGAUGGGGGUAAUUUCGUCCAAAAAUGAGUUUAAU
rnacentral:lncRNA from 1 species